AUGCACGCUGGCGGCGUGCCUAAUACAUGCAAGUCGAGCGAACAGACGAGGAGCUUGCUCCUCUGACGUUAGCGGCGGACGGGUGAGUAACACGUGGAUAACCUACCUAUAAGACUGGGAUAACUUCGGGAAACCGGAGCUAAUACCGGAUAACAUGUUGAACCGCAUGGUUCAACAGUGAAAGACGGUUUUGCUGUCACUUAUAGAUGGAUCCGCGUCGCAUUAGCUAGUUGGUAAGGUAACGGCUUACCAAGGCAACGAUGCGUAGCCGACCUGAGAGGGUGAUCGGCCACACUGGAACUGAGACACGGUCCAGACUCCUACGGGAGGCAGCAGUAGGGAAUCUUCCGCAAUGGGCGAAAGCCUGACGGAGCAACGCCGCGUGAGUGAAGAAGGUCUUCGGAUCGUAAAACUCUGUUAUUAGGGAAGAACAAAUGUGUAAGUAACUAUGCACGUCUUGACGGUACCUAAUCAGAAAGCCACGGCUAACUACGUG
rnacentral:rRNA from 1 species